GGAGAGGUGUCCGAGUGGUUGAAGGAGCACGCCUGGAAAGUGUGUAUACGGUCAAAAGCCGUAUCGUGGGUUCGAAUCCCACCCUCUCCGCCA
rnacentral:tRNA from 1 species